CAUAGCAAGGAUUGACAGACUGAGAGCUCUUUCUUGAUUCUAUGGGUGGUGGUGCAUGGCCGUUCUUGUCACACCCA
rnacentral:rRNA from 7 species